UGAUGGGAAUUUAAACCUCUUCCAGAGUAUCAAUUGGAGGGCAAGUCUGGUGCCAGCAGCCGCGGUAAUUCCAGCUCCAAUAGCGUAUAUUAAAAUUGUUGCAGUUAAAAAGCUCGUAGUUGAAUUUCUGCUGCAUUACAUAUCUCUUGUUUGAGUUUGUUUUUGUGGCUUAUUUCGGUUUGAUUUUUUCUUUCCGGAUGAUUACUUUGAGAAAAUUAGAGUGCUCAAAGCAGGCUUUUGCCUUGAAUAGUUUAGCAUGGAAUAAUAAAGUAGGACUUUGGUUCUAUUUUGUUGGUUUUAGGUACCAAAGUAAUGG
rnacentral:rRNA from 1 species